rnacentral:rRNA from 1 species
AAAUUGCUAAAGGCGGAUGCCUUGGCAUCUAAGGCAAUGAAGGACGUGCUACCUUAACUUACGAUAAGCCCCGGGGAGCCAGUACACAGGCUGUAAGUCGAGUUUCCAAGGUAAGGAAACCCGACAUUUAUGUCCGCCACUUUUGUGGAGCAAACCGGAGAACUGAAACAUCCUUGGUACCGGAGGAAAGAAAUCAGAAUUGAGAUUCACCGUUAGUAAGUACAGCGAGCGAAAGCGGAACAACCCAUAAGCUUAAUUUUUGUUUAGUAGAAUGUUAUGGAAAGAACGGCCAUAGUGGUAGUAGCCCUAAAAACAUUAUUAAGUGAAAUCAAGUGAGUCGAAACACGUAGAAAUUUGACUGAAUGUGGGGGAGGACCAUCUUCCAAGGCUAAACCUCUAGAUGACCGAUAGUAGACAAUACCGUAUUGAAAGGUGAAAAGUCCCUGUUGGGGUAAAUGGUACCACAAAUCUUUAGCAUACAAUCAAUUCAGAGCCCUUCGGGAGUGAUGGCGUACCUUUUGUAUAAUGGUCAGCGACUUAAUUUCAGUAGCCCAAACAACUAACUCAGGGUAGGGCGUAGGAAACCGGUCGCCCAAAUGGGCGAUUUGGUUGCUGGAAUUAGACCGAAACCAAGCGAUCUAUCCAUAGUCCAGGUUGAGUGUAGAAGUAACAUCACGAGGAAUGAACCACUUAUGUUGAAAAAUGAGGAUGAACUAUACAGAUGAAAUUUGAAGAACAAUCAAGCUUUAAGAAUGCUGGUUCUCGAAGAAAACUAUUAUUUAGAGUAGUGCCUCUUGUAUUACCAAUGGGGUAGAGCACUGUUUCGGCUGUAGAGGUCAUCCCAUUUUAAACCGAUGCAAACUCAAAAUACCAUUGAGUAUUAGCAAGGAGACAGACUACGAAAAGGGUGAUAACGUCCGUAGUCCGAAGGAAACAACCCAGACCAACAGCUAAGGUCCCAGAGUGCUGAUUGAAGUAGGCUUGGAGUACUUGAAUAGACUUAUACAGCUCGAAUUGGCAGAAGCAGCCAUCCUUUAAGAAAGCGCAGGCUCACUAGUCUAGUUUGUCUGCGCGGAAGAUUUACCGGGGCUGAUAUAGCUUCGAAGCUUUGGAUCAUCUUCCGGAUGAUGGUAGGGAAGCGUUCUAUGUAAGCCUGUGAAAGAGUGAACCGAGAGGUUUGCUGGAGGUAUCAAGUGCGGAGAAUGCUGACAUGAGUAACGAAUAAAGGGUGAAAAACCUCUUCGCGGAAGACUAAGGAUUCCUGUCAACGCUUUUCGUGGCAGGAGUUAGUCGGCCUAGGGCGCACCGAAGUCGAUGGGAAACAGGUUUAAUAUUCCUGUACCAGUUGAGUGACGGAUCCUAGUAAAUUGUGCGCUUGCGUGGAUGUGCAUGCAGUGAAUAGGUUCAAGAAAUAGCUCCAACACAUGGAGCCGUACCACAAACCGACACAGGUGAUGAGUAGGAAAUGCAAGGCGGAUGAGAUAACUCUGGUGAGGAACUGGGCAAAUGCACCAAGCCGUGACUUCGGGAGAAAGUUGGCAGUUAGAGGCAGCUUUUAGUUGGUCGAAGAUACACCAGGUGGCGCGACUGUUUACUAAAAACACAGCACUCUGCUAAAAGCUGGACGUAUAGUGCCCGGCACCACCGCCCAGUGCCGGAAGGUUAAAUGAUGGGAGUUAGCUUCAGCGAAAGCUCUUGAUUAAGCUAGUAAGACGGCGGUAUGCUUUCUCAACAGUCCUAAGGUAGCGAAAUUCCCUUGUCAGGUAGAAGUUUCAAAUGCACGAAUGGCGUGAUGGCCACACUGUCUCCUGCAGAGGCUCAGUGGUGAAUAGCUGUUAAGAUGCAGUUUACCCCGCGGCUAAGGCCCGGAAAGACCCCGUGCACCUUUACUACAGGUUCGCACUGAACUUUGGUUUUAUUUGUGGCAGGAUAGGUGGGAGACUUUGAAGCUUUGACGCCAGUCAUUGUGAUCGUCCUUGAAAUACCCUUGCAAGGUUAAGAGUUCACCUAGAUUUUUGUCAGGGACCAGUGUGUACUGGGUAGUUUGACUGGGGCAGUCUCCUCCUAAAGAGUAACGGAGGAGCACGAAGGUAUCCUCAACACGGUCGGACAUCGUGUGUAGAGUGCAAAAGCAAAAGGAUGCUUGACUGCGAGAUCGACGGAUCGAGCAGGUAGGAAACUAGGUUUUAGUGACCCGGUGGUUCUGAAUGGAAGGGCCAUCGCUCAACGGAAAAAAGGUACGCCGGGGAUAACAGGCUGAUAGCCCCCAAAGAGUUCAUAUCGACGGCGCUGUUUGUACCUCGAUGUCGGCUCACCCAUCCUGGGGCUGGAGCAGGUCCCAAGGGUAGGCUGUUCGCCAUUUAAAGAGGUACGCGAGCUGGGUUUAGAACGUCGUGAGACAGUUCGGUCCCUAUCUGCUGUGGGCGUUGGAGAUUUGAAGGAAGCUUCUUCUAGUACGAGAGGACCGAAGUGGACGAACCUCUGGUGGUCCGGUUGUUGCGCCAGCAGCUUGCCGAGGUAGCUAUGUUGGGAAAGGGGAUAACCGCUGAAAGCAUAUAGCGGGAAGCCUCUAAGAUGAGAUCUCCCUGAGAGCCGUUGAAGACGACAACGUUGAUAGGCUAGAUGUGUAAGCCCUGAAAGGGGGGUUCAGCUUACUAGUACUAAUUGCUCGAUCGGCUUGA